GCCAGGCAUGGUGGUGCAUGCCUGUAAUCCCAGCUACUCGGGAGGCUGAGGCAGGAGAAUUGCUUGAACCCGGGAGGUGGAGGUUGCAGUGAGCUAAGAUCGUGCCACUGCACUCCAGCUUGGGUGACAGAGCAAGACACUGUCUCAA
rnacentral:SRP_RNA from 1 species